rnacentral:misc_RNA from 1 species
GAUGAAGAACGUAGCGAAAUGCGAUAAGUAAUGUGAAUUGCAGAAUUCAGUGAAUCAUCGAAUCUUUGAACGCACAUUGCGCCCGGCAGUACUCUGCCGGGCAUGCCUGUUCGAGCGUCAUUUCAACCCUCAAGCCCUGCUUGGUGUUGGGGCCCCACGGCUGCCGUGGGCCCUGAAAGGAAGUGGCGGGCUCGCUACAACUCCGAGCGUAGUAAUUCAUUAUCUCGCUUAGGGCGUUGGGCGGCGCUCCAGCCGUUAAAGAACCAUCUUUAACUCAAGGUUGACCUCGGAUCAGGUAGGAAUACCCGCUGAACUUAAGCAUAUCAAUAACGGAGGA